GACUGGUCAAGCCUCCUCAAAUUUAGACUUUGGUUAUGAUUUAAGCCUUCUAGAUUUGUCGUCACAAAAUGUUUUCAUUUUGGAUGACUAGUGCAUAUGACUAGUCAUCCUUGAUAUGUUUUUUUAUCACAUGUUGUGGUCAAGUCAUUUUAUUUUUCACGUGAGCUGCUGGUACCAUUAGUCCUAUUCUAGCUCUUAUCAUUAGCUGCCAUGGGUUUUUGUUUUGAUCUGCCCAAAUUUAUCAAAAGGGUGGCUGAGGUAGAAAACAAUCAACACUUUUAUUUUGGAUUGUCGACAACAUUUUUU
rnacentral:lncRNA from 1 species